rnacentral:rRNA from 1 species
UACGUAGGGACCAAGCGUUGUUCGGAUUUACUGGGCGUAAAGGGCGCGUAGGCGGCGUGUUAAGUCAGCUGUGAAAUCUCCAAGCUUAACUUGGAACGGUCAGCUGAUACUGAUGUGCUAGAGUGCAGAAGGGGCAAUCGGAAUUCUUGGUGUAGCGGUGAAAUGCGUAGAUAUCAAGAGGAACACCUGAGGUGAAGACGGGGUUGCUGGGCUGACACUGACGCUGAGGCGCGAAAGCUAGGGUAGCAAACCGGG